rnacentral:lncRNA from 1 species
UGAGUUAAGCCAUAAUUGUUCCGUUCUUGGACGUUUGACCGUAUUUCGAGUCAACCCGGUUAAUUCCAGGUCGGUUGGUUUAAGGGGGUAAUAUCUUCCAUUUUAAAUGUUUAUGUUUUACUUGUGUUAUUUAUGCUUCUUCGAAUUACAUGAAUAAUAAUUGGAUUUUAAAGGGUUUAAAUGCAUUAUAUGUGACAACGUGACAUGUCAAUUAUAUGUGAUCUAUAUAUUCUAUUAUAUUAUGAGUGAUAUAUUUCUGAUAUGAUAUGCUACAUGUAAUUGUUCACUUGAAUAAGUUAUAUUGCAAGAGUAAUAUGAGUAUUGAUUGAUCACCUAGUUAGAGCUCAUAUGUUGACGAUCGUGCUUAAUGCACUAUAGCUACGCGGUGGGAGCUACGAGGUGGGCUUCUCACACUAACUGUCGUCGUGGGCCUUGGUAGGCGCCACUAUAUGCGGCCCGAUUUGGUGCCACUAACAUGUACAUGGGUCGUCAGCAUAUGUGAGUCGGGAUCCCAAUUAAAAUAUGUAAAGUAGAGUCAGAGUUGUCCAACGUGCUUUACAUGCUAUAUGGUUAUCUUUUAAAAUGAAUCUCAAUAUUGAUAUCUACAUGAUAACUUCAGAAGACUGACUCCGAGCCACCCACCAGUUCGUGACAGGUGAUAUGGUAUUAGAAGAAUUAAUAGAGGAUCUGUUCAUCUGCCGCCAGACUGAAGUUGGGAUAUUGAUGAGACUGUAUAUUUAUGGGAUUUGUUUUAAAAGAUGGGUCCAUUCUAUCUUUGACAUCAGCUUCCGGAAAUAAGUUGUUUGGGGUAAUAUUCCAGUUUUUCUGCAAAGGUUACCAGUAUCAUUUAUGUAUAAUUUUAAUUAUAUUUUGUACUAUUUCUAAACUGUGUCAUGUGUCCGUCCCGGGAUAAUUUUUCG